rnacentral:rRNA from 1 species
CACCCAACAGCUAGCCCGCCCUUAUAAACUCAACACUUAAACAUACAUAAACCCUAACAUCCUCAAUAC